ensembl:lncRNA
UAAUACAGAGAAUCGCCUCCUUACACAUUGGAAUUGAAGGAUGUUUAAGAAGAUCCCAGCUCAGCAUGAGAGGUGAAACAACAGAACGAGAUGAAGAACCAAAUCAUCCCUGGGAAAAAAUGGGAACAGUUCUGGAACUUGUUCCAGUUCAAUGACCAGGUUUACAUGAUCACAAUGGACUAACUGUCCAACUUAUUCAUUUGAAAAACAGUCAUAAGCAAAUUAAAAGUAUGGACUUCAAGACAGUAAAUUCAGCAAACCAGAGACUUUACAUAUAAAACGUCCUCAUUGGGAUAUCUACACAGUGAUGUAAAAGUGUAAAAAAACUAAUGGCUUUUCUAAUCACUGCUUCUGAUGUGUGAGGGUCCAGGACUGAUAUCCAGCAAAUCAGGCAACUACAUGAACAGACAGUUUAGACAGGCUCAAUAUUAUGACAUUUCAAUCAAGAUCUCAAUGACCUGCACUACAAAAUGAUAAAGUGAGAGUUCAGCUGCUGCCUGGACAGAUAAUGCUGGCCAAAGGCAAUGGUGAUAACACCAGUGCAAAACAGCUCAUACAAAAACCAAAUGGAAGGUGGACAAGUACUGGAAAAUGGAAAACAUAUGUAAUAACUUCCUGGCACUUGAUGAGCCAGGAAAAGAUGAGCUCUGGGCCUGCUGACCCAGAAGAGUCUGAAAAUGACUGAUACAGGGCAAGUUGAAAGAAAUUUGGAAAGAAAAUGUAACAAUAUGUGUAAUAUGUGUAUUGUUAAGGAUGCUGCAUGAGACUUUUAUUACACGUGUACGAGAGGCACUCAGGUUGUUGUGGGUGUGGUUGCAAGGAAAUCGGGAAUUAAAGGUGAGAGACCAUGAAAGUGUUUCUUUCACAAUGAUACAGAAUAUUGAAACAAAAUAUACGUGAACAGAGUCAGGAAAAAAUUAUAUAGUCUAAUAAGGAUACAAGCAUUUACAAAUAAUGUGGAAAACAUUUAGUCUGAUCUGUGGAAUUGCAUGUGAUAAACCUGUAGGCAACCCACAUCUGCUGGAAAGUCAGGUAAUUAUCCGUGAGCUUUCUGUCCCGAAUUUAACACAAUCUCCAAUGAUCUGUAACACCCUGUUCACACCAGCAAACACAUGAAAUGACUGUGUAUCUUUUCCAUUAUUCGUCAGAAUCUGUUAUUCAUAUUGAAGUUAUCCGUGCCUUUCUGAAUAAGCUUCCACUUCAUCCCUUUUAGCUGCCAUUACGCUUAAGAAUCUGUGCAAGUACAGCACACUUCCCUGAGAAUGAAUCUUUCUGAAUAUGGAACAAAAUCAGAGUCAGUUAGUGUGUUGACAUCU